CGUCCAUACUAAAUAGCAGGAACGGUCUUUGGUAGAGACGCCACUGGCCAGGGCUAUCUCCCUGACCGCUCCACACCGAGAGAACAGAGGUCCAUGACCCCACUGAGGAUAUUCCGGGACAAAAAUCCCUAACAACAGGUUUGUUCUAUUUUUGCACCUUCCUCCUAUAUACAGCAUCCUUGAUAGGGACAACAGCAUUCACAAGAGUUCAUCAUCUCAAUAGCUACACUUCUAUCACCAAUUGGAGUAUCACUGGCCAAGCGAGCCCUACAUCAACCCUUCCUGUUGCUAUUCCCUUGUCUUUGAAUAAAAUAUAUUUAUUAACUACA